CCAAUAUUCAUCAGUGUCUCUUGAAAAGGGUAGAUUUAAACUGAGUGAUUAGCACUAAGAGGCCAGUAAUAAAGAUAACCCAAUCAUGAUGUAGAUUCAGAAUUUUAGUGCCCACAUACUCUAAAGAAGCUGAUUGAUUAAGAAAAAUGAGAGCAUUAUGCUCAUGUUAGGAUGAAAAUUAUUUUUCCACCAAGUAGAAAAGAGCUCUAUUAAACUGUUGGAAGGU
rnacentral:lncRNA from 1 species